UGAAAUACAUUUCUUUAUUUAAUAAAAUAAUUAAAUUAUUAAUUAUAUUUAUCAGAUUUCGAUAUAUGGCCUGAAUUAAAUGGAGCAUUCGUCAUGUAUUACCUGUUUAAUUGUCCUUUUGAAAAAAUCCCCAAUUAUGAUGUGUCACGCGAAGUAAAUAAGUAAAAAUAUAUUAUAAUACAUAAUAUUUUAAAUAUUUAACAAUUAAUAGUUAAUAUAAUCUUGCUUUAUAUUCGUAUAAUCGUAUAAUAUAUAUUAAAUAAAUGUAUUGCUUAAAUAAUUUUAUUAUGACGAAAGACGAUAUUGUCGUCGUAAUACUCGCUUACUUAUAUGUGAGCAAAAUAAUAAAAUAUCUUAUUUUUAAAAUUUAUCA